rnacentral:rRNA from 1 species
UAGAGUUUGAUCCUGGCUCAGGACGAACGCUGGCGGCGUGCCUAAUACAUGCAAGUCGAGCGAGCUGAACCAACAGGAUUCACUUCGGAUGAUGACGUUGGGAACGCGAGCGGCGGAUGGGUGAGUAACACGUGGGGAACCUGCCCCAUAGUCUGGGAUACCACUUGGAAACAGGUGCUAAUACCGGAUAAGAAAGCAGAUCGCAUGAUCAGCUUAUAAAAGGCGGCGUAAGCUGUCGCUAUGGGAUGGCCCCGCGGUGCAUUAGCUAGUUGGUAGGGUAACGGCCUACCAAGGCAAUGAUGCAUAGCCGAGUUGAGAGACUGAUCGGCCACAUUGGGACUGAGACACGGCCCAAACUCCUACGGGAGGCAGCAGUAGGGAAUCUUCCACAAUGGACGAAAGUCUGAUGGAGCAACGCCGCGUGAGUGAAGAAGGUUUUCGGAUCGUAAAGCUCUGUUGUUGGUGAAGAAGGAUAGAGGUAGUAACUGGCCUUUAUUUGACGGUAAUCAACCAGAAAGUCACGGCUAACUACGUGCCAGCAGCCGCGGUAAUACGUAGGUGGCAAGCGUUGUCCGGAUUUAUUGGGCGUAAAGCGAGCGCAGGCGGAAGAAUAAGUCUGAUGUGAAAGCCCUCGGCUUAACCGAGGAACUGCAUCGGAAACUGUUUUUCUUGAGUGCAGAAGAGGAGAGUGGAACUCCAUGUGUAGCGGUGGAAUGCGUAGAUAUAUGGAAGAACACCCAGUGGCGAAGGCGGCUCUCUGGUCUGCAANCUGACGCUGAGGCUCGAAAGCAUGGGUAGCGAACAGGAUUAGAUACCCUGGUAGUCCAUGCCGUAAACGAUGAGUGCUAAGUGUUGGGGGGUUUCCGCCUCUCAGUGCUGCAGCUAACGCAUUAAGCACUCCGCCUGGGGAGUACGACCGCAAGGUUGAAACUCAAAGGAAUUGACGGG